GACGAACGCUGGCGGCGCGCUUAACACAUGCAAGUCGAACGGAAAGGCCUGCUUUCCCUUGUGGAUUGCGGGUACUCGAGUGGCGAACGGGUGAGUAACACGUGAGUGAUCUGCCCCCAACUUGGGUAUAAGCCUGGGAAACUGGGUCUAAUUCCCGAUAGGACUGCAGGGUGGUGCCUGUGGUGGAAAACGAUUUUCUAGUGGUGGGGGAUGAGCUCGCGGCCUAUCAGCUUGUUGGUGGGGUAAUGGCCUACCAAGGCGGCGACGGGUAGCCGGCCUGAGAGGGUGGACGGCCACAGUGGGACUGAGAUACGGCCCAGACUCCUACGGGAGGCAGCAGUGGGGAAUAUUGCACAAUGGGCGGAAGCCUGAUGCAGCGACGCCGCGUGGGGGAUGACGGCCUUCGGGUUGUAAACUCCUUUCGACCGCGAGGAAGCCACCUGGUUGGAAGGGUGGUGACGGUAGUGGUAGAAGAAGCACCGGCUAACUACGUG
rnacentral:rRNA from 1 species